rnacentral:lncRNA from 1 species
GAAUAAGUAAUAUUUGUGAAAGUGUUUUGUAGACUGUGAAACUUUGCACAAAUGAAAGAUCACAAGGAUGAUUGCUUACGAAGCUCAGAAAUUGAAGUGGAACUCUUUUCUUAAUGUAACACACACAUACACAUUACACACAUUUUCUCUUUGAAUAGUGGCUGCAUUGUUUUUAAUGGAACACUGGGCUACUUUUAAACAUUGAAAUCAAAAUGUACAUGCCCACUUUUUAUUAGUAGUUGCUCCAUUUGCUCUUCCAGCUUUGGCUCGAAAACAUCUGCUUGUAUGCUUAGUAUCACUGUCCUUGCUUACCCCCAUCCCUUGCCUUCUCACCCAUCUUUAGUCUGCCAUAUGGUCUUGACAUAGAUUUUCAACUGUUAGACUGUCAGGCUUUCAAGGAUGCAUUUUAAGAAAUCAGUUUCUUUGAAAGCACUUGAACCAGAAGUCAAAUGGCAUGAUGUAAACCAAUAGUUUUUCAAUGAAGAAAUGAAAACCCUCAAUAAUUACAAAUAAGGAAUGUAACCUAUUGACACCAAUUUGGUUACACUGUAUUGAUUCCUACAAAAAUAUUAUGAGAGAGUAGGCUACUUAUACUCUACUGAUCAGAUUACAAGUAUACUUAGUAAAGACAGAAAUAGUAUAGGCAUAAAAGAGUUUACCUUAAAAUGUCACCUGAUGUUAGUUGUCCCUCACUGAUUCAAGUAAUUUCCAUUAUUCAGGUGGAUCUGGCUGUUGGUGGAGAUCCCUAGACUGCAUGGGGCCAUGGGCAUGAUCUGGAGACACAGUAGGUCAUCCUCAGAAUUUACACUCUCUCUCCUUUUGUGCCCCCAUGGACCAAGUUAAGAAGGUGUAGGCUUCCAAUCUGAAGAUUGGUCACCACAAAACUCAAAGGGAAAACCUUUUAGGCCAAAGACCAUCUGAAGUGGCCCUGGUUCCUCCAUGUUUAACUCACUGGCCCCUAAUUUCUGCUGGACCUUCAUUUCAGUCGACUGUGUUUCAGGAGAUUCGGGCCACAACACCCCUGAGUUUACCGGUUUUGGUUUCUUCCUUGUGACCUUCGGCUCCAGGAUGCAGCACAGCUCCUCACUGCACUAUUUAUCAGAAUGUUGCUCUGCAUGCUUGAAAGUUUCCCCAAACAGAGGUACAUAAAAACAAACAGAGGCGAAACACAAAUCCCAUCAGCCCUGGAGGAAAAGGCCCUGAAGCUCUUCCAGUGCAGAGGCCACGCAGAGGACAGGCUCCUACCUGUGCACAUCAGCCACGCCUGGGGCGCCUCCUGGAGUCCAGGCUGCUGGCAAUGGAAUUCAUCAUGUUGCUGAUGUCACUGUAAGUUAAGUCGCAGCUGCCAGCUGAGCUAUGGGACAGUUUGAGGGAUGGCCAGAAGGUUUCUCCUGGAUGCCAUCUUCAGCAUACCUAGGAACCAGAGAAAAUGCAAUUCUUCGCAUGCCCAUCUCACUCCUGCAGCCUGGGGUCCCUCUUCAGUUUAUUUUUUUAUUUUUUUAUUUUUUUAUCAUAAGCACAUAGUCAGGCUCUGGGACAUCAUGGAACCCAGCAGCCUGCUGAAAGGUGAAGCACAAGUCUAAAGUCCUGUUAGUUAUGAAAUCCAGCUCUCCUGGAUUAGGCAAGGGGAAAACCACAUCUUUAAGAUACACUAGGGCAAGAAGUAAAGUAUGGAGAGCUGGCUCAACGAAAUUUUGUGUAUAAUAGGAGCCGUCCUAUGACUAAUUGUCACCUGUCUCAGAGACCUCAUGAUUAUUUCUGAGCUUUAACCAAUGAAUUAAUGUGGGUUCUACCUGGCUCUUCUAACGUCUUUGGAAUGGUUCCUCAGGGAACCACAGCUAUCCAUAGAGAUAACAACCUGAAUACAAGCCCAUCGCCCGAUCAGAUGCUGCUCUUACUUGCAUGACUUGGUUCUAUUCUUGCCCAGUCCCACUGGGAUAGCAGUGGUAGCUAAACAGCUAAGCAGAGUGACCUCAUUAGAUUCUCCUCUAGUAUAAAGUCACAUGUUAACUCAUUUUUGGACUCAUAGUCAGAAACUUGUAAUUUUUCCUCAUUUUGGUAUGCAGCUAUUGCACAGUGGGGGAAAUAUGAGUCAAAAGACUUGCUCUUAUAUUCCAUCUUCCCCCUCAUUGCCUGGGUGUCUUUGGACCAGUUAAUCUUUGAGCCUCAGUUAUCUAGAAAAUGGGGACACUGCUACUUUAUAUAUUUUUUUUUAGUGGGACCUAGAUAAGGUAAUAUAAAUAAAGGGGCUUUAUUUAUAUAUUGAAUGGCAUGAUGUUAGGAUUACCAAAAGGAAAUAGCUAUUCUACUUACAUUACAAUGUGGUUUGAGGAUCAAAUUCAAUAAAAUAUGUGAAGAGGGCUUUGAAAACUAGAAAGAGCUAAGCAAUGCAAAAUGCGUCGCUGCACUUGAAUGUAAUGGCUGGUGUCAUGUCAGCUGGAUUAACUGUGGUCACUAGUUCUCAUAUAUCCAUUUGCUAGAGUAGCUGAGUCCUCUGGACUACGAAAAAGGGCACAGAAGCUACAGAUACGAGAUCUGGUACUAUCUUUAUCACUACCUUUUUAUUGUGAGCACCUCAAUCAUUUUGAGAUAUUUGUCUCAUUUCUUUUACUUUGAAUAUGCAAAAACAACAGUCACCUCCUAAUAUGGCUGUUGGGAAAACACAACUGAAAUGGAUUCAGAAAAUAGCUUUUAAGGACAAAGUUAUGUGAAGGACAUAAAUUGUGCAUGAAGUCUUUCAGCAAUGAAUAGGCACAUCUCCACAUACCCCAGGAUCUUAAGCUGAUAAUGUAACAACAAGAACCUAUUGAAUCAGGACAAGGUGAUGGUUCUGCUCCUGUGGCAAUCUAGGUCUCAGAAUCUGGUAUGCAGGCAGGGUGUAGAGAGCAGAUUGCAUUUUCAGGAGAAAGGUUAAGCUUGAAUGUUUUGGACAGGAGGUGGUUAGAUGCAUUUUUAAAAAGUCCUUGAAUUUACCUGAUGAUUUUUGUGUCCUUGUGAUGGUUGUAGCCCAUUCCAGGAUAUGAAUAAAUUUAGCAACACAAAGGAGGUCAUUUAAAAAUCUUUCCCUCAGAUGCUCCACUUCCUCUUCCUUCUAGCUUUCUCCUCUUCUUCACUAAUUUGGCAACCUGCAAGGCUGCCCUUUUGAUCACUGGCAGUUUAGAAUAGUGAUAAGUGGUUUUGGAAAAUGUUAUUGAAACUUUUAUAGGAGAGUGGUGGAAAGAUGGAGAUUUCUAGAAAACCCUUAAUAGAAGAGAUCCAUUUUACUUAAUUAUUUAUUUAUUUUUAGUUUUAAAACAUUAUUUUAUUUUGAAUUAAUUUUAGACUUUAAGAAAUUGCAAAAAUACUAGAAAGUGUUACUUUAAUCCCUCACCCUGCUUCUGCUUAUGUUGACUGUCUCUCAUCAUCUUAAUAUGAUUAUCAAGAAUAGGAAAUUGAUGUUGGUACAAUAUUUUUAACUAAGCUACAGACUGCAUCUGAUAUUCACCAGUUUUCCUGCAGAUAUCAUUUUUCUGCCAUCCGAGUACUAACCAGACCCGACCCUGCUUAGCUUCCAAGAUCAGACAAGAUUGGGUGUGUUCAGGGUGGUAUGGCUAGAGACCCAAAUAUCAUUUUUCUGUCUCAGGAGCCUAUCCAGGACCCCACAUUGUAUUGAGUUGUAUUUCUCCCUAGUUGACUCCAAUCUGUGACAGUUCCCUGGUCUUUCCUUGUCCUUCAUAACUUUGGCACUUUUCGAAGGAUACUGAUUGUUACCAGUGGAAGGUAUCCGAGUUACCAGCGGCAAAUCCAUACGGGUCUGCAGCAACCUCAAUUCUUGCCCCCUCAAAAGAAAUAAUUUGACUGAGGGGCAUAAAGCAGAAAAAGAGAUCAAGGCAACUUUCAGAGUAGGAGUGGGAGUUUAUUUAAAAAGACUUUAGAAAAGGAAAGAAAAGAAAGUACGCUUGGAAGAGACCCAAGUGGGCAUGUGAAGGUCAAUUGUAGUGUUUAACCUUGAUCCUAGGACUUUAUAGGCUGGCCUCUUUCCCAUGAUUCUUCCUUUAAAGGGGGCUGCCCUCAUGCACAGUGCCCUCCUUACCCUUGGGAGUUGAGCAUGUGCACUGUGUUUAGGAAGUUGUAUGCAUGCCCAUUGGAGGCUUUCUUCCCUUUUCUCAUGGCAUGACCCUGGAAGGCCAUACUCUGCCAUUUUAUCUCCUAAUGCACAUGUCUGGGAAGUUGUGUUUCCCUGGUACCUACAUUAAGUUCACACUUUAGUGCAACAGGUGCAGACAAUCAGGAAAUGGCCUCUCCCUGGCGCUGGCUGCCAAUUUAUCACUUUUAGAGAGGCAAUGUGAUAAUUGCCAAACCAUCACCUGACAUUUUUAGUGGGUGGGGGAAGAGCCCUCUCCUGCCCUGCUUAUGCCUGUCUACCUAUAAAUACACUGAUGAGUAAUUUGGUAGAAUGUCCUUCAUUUUAGGUUUGUCUAACGUUUUGUCAUGAUUAGAGUGAGGUUAUGCCAUUUUGGCAAGAAUACCACAGAAAUGAUACUAUAUCCCUUUUCAGCACAUCAUGCCAAGGGAUUCAUGAUGUUGAUAUGCCUUAUUAAUGGUGAUAUUUACUUUGAGCACUCCAUUAGGUUAGUGUCUGCUGGUUUCUCCAUUAUAAAACCACCUUUGCAAAAAUUAUAACAGUGAGAAAAUUAUGACAGUGAAAGAGAUCUGAUCUAACCAACCCCCAUCUUGCUUUUAACCUCCAAAAUGCCUUACUCAUUUCUGGGCUUAGGCCAAGUUAACUUUGGGAGAAGUUUAGUUUAUAGUUUAACAGAUUAUAUCCCUUCCUCAAAACUAAACCACCUUUGUGUAAAGCUGAUGAAAGACCACCAGAUUAGGAGGAUGAAAGGAACCUGAAUUCUGUUAACAUGUAGAUAUAAAUGAUUACCAGCCAUUAUUCCAGAGGUCACAAGAUUUGCAACUUCCCAAUUACUCCUGCAGAUAACAUCACUAUUGUAGAACCUAAGAUUGGCCUUUUGAGAUGACUUUUCAGAUUUUUGUGUUUCUGAAAAUGGAUGGCUCCACCCAGACCCACCAACUGGUCCUGGCUCCACCCAGAAGUGGACUUAGCUUCUCAUGAGGACCAUUUUCCACACCCCUAUGAUUGCACCCCCAACCAAUCAGCAGCACCCAUUCCCUAGCCACCCCCCUCUCCUAAACUAUCUUUGAAAAACCAUAGUCUCCAAAUUUUCAGGGUGGCUGAUUUGCAUAAUAAUAAAACUCUAGUCUCCUGUUUAUCCAGUUCUAUAUGUGUAAA